AUCACCAAUCUGUUCUUCUCAUCUGCAGGAGAAUGCAGAGGAAAAGACUUAGCUGAACUUGCAUCUUCAUGAGCCUUAUUCACUGUGUCCUACAGAAGUAUUCUCAGUUUUCAUCGGUUCAUUCAAACUGACUCUCUUAGUGCAUCAAGCAAAUCAUCUUCAUCCCAGACAUAGCAAACAUGGUCACCAUCUUCACCAGGAAAAGAAAAAUCAUGGAAGACUGAGAUGAUAAUACAUUCAAGCUUGACCAGAUGGAGGUAAGAAAACAUGAAAAGCUGUCCCAAAGCCAUAUGG
rnacentral:lncRNA from 1 species